UCAAUAUAAAUAAUGUAACUUCUCCAUAUGAUCUGUGUUGAUUUGUUUACACGAAAUCGGAAAAAAUUAUUUUGUCAACUGGUACAUCACUGGUCCACAUGAUAUGAUUUAGUAUUGUAUUUUCCUGUUUGCAGGAAAUGGAAUGCGUAAUAUGUGAACUUCUCUUACCAACUGGUUACAAAUACCUGGAUAUCGACAUUAGUAUUGAUGUUGUCCAAACGACGACUCUUUACCCUUCUACAUGGAGCUGGAAAGGAAGGAGCCAGGCUUAAUGACAUAUGCACUACGAGUUGUUGUGGACUGUACUCCCGUUCGCAGAUGCUUCUAAAUCUGACAGAUAUAUGGCAAUUCCACGCUCAUCAGUGUGUAUUGAGGUUGAGGCUGCAUCACCCGAUCAAGUUCUGGGACUGAAAUUUUCAACAAUUCCUUCAAUUCAGGAAUUUGUAUCCAGCAUAGAAAUAACUGACCUACAACUACUUGGAAAACUUCUUUGUUGUGAGACAAAUAAGAGUAGAUUUGCUAUCUGAUAAACAACUAUGUCGUGACAAGAAGUUGCUGAAAGGAACGGAUGGCUCGAGAGCAUGCUUUGGUUCAGAUUUUGGUGAUCUAAACGACGCUUCCAGUAGAUUACUAAUGUAUCUAAUAGAGAGAGAGUAAAAAAAAAUAUAGGUUCAAAGACCAGAAUCGAAGUAGAUACCGAUGGACAUUUAAAACGUGCAUUAAUAUCAUUAGGCGCAUCCAUUAAAGGGUGGAGUAAUUGUAAGCCCGUAGUCAUGAUUGAUACAACUUUCUUAACUAGAAAAUUUAAGGAUACCCUAUUAACUGUAUGCACACAAGAUGCAAACAAUUCAAUCUUUAUACUGGCAUUUGGGGUUGGAGAUUUCGAGAACAAUGACUCGUGGUCGUGGGAUUGGUUCAUUAGACAACACAAGGAAGCAUACACCGAGAGAUAUGAAAUGUGUUUCAUUUUGGAUCAUCGUGGAAACAUCGAACACGCUG
rnacentral:lncRNA from 1 species